AGUUAAAGUUGUGUUGAGCUGUCUUUUGAGUUAGCAUUUCUCCUGAGUAGCUGAGCCUGGUUGGCUUUGGAAGCACUCCUAUCUGGAUCACACCGACGAGACUACACUGACGACUACAUCAUGACUACCUUGUGACUACAUCGUGACUUCAAUUAAUUCAAAAAAGUUGAUGGUCCAAUAUAUAGCACAUCGAAUAAAAGCUCAAAUUAUGACGAGUAUUACUAACUAUAAAUUUUUGUAAUUUGAGUAAUCAAAAUUUACUACAAAACUGCCAAAGGUAAAAACUAAGAAUAGUGUCAAUUUAAUUAAGCUAAUUAAAAGAUAAGUUAAUU
rnacentral:lncRNA from 1 species